rnacentral:rRNA from 1 species
UUGGACCUGAUAUCAGGCAAGAUUACCCGCUGAACUUAAGCAUAUCAAUAAGCGGAGGAAAAGAAACUAACAAGGAUUCCCCUAGUAACGGCGAGUGAAGCGGGAAGAGCUCAAGCUUAAUC